rnacentral:lncRNA from 1 species
UGCAGUGCAUUAAUACCCCUGGUUGCCAAACAACAUCCCAGUAUUCAGUAGAAGAUACCUUCAGCUUUAUUCUGUUUUCAGACUCUCAAUUGAAGGAACUGUGUACAACAUUGGAUCAGAAGAUCACUGUAGGAUUGAUGAAGCUGAUGCAUCUGCAGUUUCCUUUGGACAUCACCACUGAUGUGUGCUGAUGUCUACGUCUUACUCCAAGCUUUGGAGGCAGCUUCUACAGCAAGAACUGAAGGCCUGUGGACAUCCAAGUAUUCUGAUGCACAGCAUAUACCAGCUAACUUUUACAGUGCUGUGACUUCACUGUUUUCAUCAGAA